rnacentral:tRNA from 1 species
GCACCCUUAGCUCAACUGGAUAGAGCAUACGCCUUCUAAGCGUAGGGUUACAAGUUCAAGCCUUGUAGGGUGUA